UACGGAGGGUGCAAGCGUUGCUCGGAAUUAUUGGGCGUAAAGGGUAGGUAGGUGGUCUCAUUUGUCUGGGGUGAAAGCCUUGGGCUUAACCUGAGAAGUGCCCCGGAAACGGUGAGACUUGAGUCCUGGAGAGGGUCGUGGAAUUCCCGGUGUAGCGGUGAAAUGCGUAGAGAUCGGGAGGAACACCAGAGGCGAAGGCGGCGGCCUGGACAGGAACUGACACUCAACUACGAAAGCGUGGGGAGCAAACAGG
rnacentral:rRNA from 1 species